UACGGAGGGGCGAGCGUUAUUCGGAAUUAUUGGGCGUAAAGAGCUCGUAGGCGGUUUGUCGCGUCUGCUGUGAAAACCCGAGGCUCAACCUCGGGCCUGCAGUGGGUACGGGCAGACUAGAGUGCGGUAGGGGAGAUUGGAAUUCCUGGUGUAGCGGUGGAAUGCGCAGAUAAUCAGGAGGAACACCAAUGGCGAAGGCAGAUCUCUGGGCCGUAACUGACGCUGAGGAGCGAAAGCAUGGGGAGCGAACAGG
rnacentral:rRNA from 1 species